rnacentral:rRNA from 1 species
AGAGUUUGAUCCUGGCUCAGGACGAACGCUGGCGGCGUGCCUAAUACAUGCAAGUCGAACGCUUCUUUUCUACCGAGUGCUUGCACUCACUUGAAAAGAGGAGUGGCGGACGGGUGAGUAACACGUGGGUAACCUACCCAUCAGAGGGGGAUAACACUUGGAAACAGGUGCUAAUACCGCAUAAUAGUCGACAUCGCAUGGUGUUGAUUUGAAAGACGCUUUCGGGUGUCACUGAUGGAUGGACCCGCGGUGCAUUAGCUAGUUGGUGAGGUAACGGCUCACCAAGGCCAUGAUGCAUAGCCGACCUGAGAGGGUGAUCGGCCACACUGGGACUGAGACACGGCCCAGACUCCUACGGGAGGCAGCAGUAGGGAAUCUUCGGCAAUGGACGAAAGUCUGACCGAGCAACGCCGCGUGAGUGAAGAAGGUUUUCGGAUCGUAAAACUCUGUUGUUAGAGAAGAACAAGUAGGAGAGUAACUGCUCUUACCUUGACGGUAUCUAACCAGAAAGCCACGGCUAACUACGUGCCAGCAGCCGCGGUAAUACGUAGGUGGGCAAGCGUUGUCCGGAUUUAUUGGGCGUAAAGCGAGCGCAGCGGUUUCUUAAGUCUGAUGUGAAAGCUCCCCGGCUCAACCGGGGAGGGUCAUUGGAAACUGGGAGACUUGAGUGCAGAAGAGGAGAGUGGAAUUCCAUGUGUAGCGGUGAAAUGCGUAGAUAUAUGGGAGGAACACCAGUGGGCGAAGCGACUCUCUGGUCUGUAACUGACGCUGAGCUUCGAAAGCGUGGGG